AACAUUUCUCUUAUCUGCUUUUAGGAACGAAAACAAGAACGGAGGAGGGUCUAAAAAGAGAUGAAGACCCACUGGGAGACAAUGUGCAUGCUUUACCAAGGCGUCGGCACUGAAAUUCGCUUCUCUCAAUGUGUGGCUGAUGUUGAACUCUCCAGGUCUAGCUUGAAACUCCUUUACUACUCAAAUGAUAGAGAGAUGCUGCCAUGAAUAGGGGGAGAAGUAUUUUGCAGCAACCUAACUGCGCAAGUGGAAUCAGUUUCGAGUUUAAUUCGGUGAAGUCCCAUGUCGCUUGCAAUCUUUAACCCCAAGUAAGCGAAUUAGAGGCUUGAAGUACUGACUCAUCCAUGUUGAUCUUGUUCCAACCUUCUUCUGGCGGUUUCCACCCUACCAGAACUAACGUUACUGGUCUAAGCUUCCUGAUGCUUUGUUUGAUAAGUUCAAGAACGUAAUUAUAAUGUUGCAGGUUGUAAUGAAGAAGGUGGACCAUGGAGUUCCAUAAUUAGUGUGAGAGUCCUUGUUCAGGUUUUCUUUGAGUCAAUUCUGAAGAUUUUGACUAAAAAAGGAGUCUUGAGGGGUUUCUGAUUGAGCUACGUGCUAUUCCAAAUGCUUUGGGCAAAACGGCAAUCCCUCAAUACAUGGAGCAAACUCUCUUCAAUAUUCGGACAUCUGUACUAUAAUCGAUCUUGCAAUUUCAAAUUAUUCUCUCGCCUGUUGAUGCCCUCCCCACUGCUCGGGGCUCUGCCGUCUACCGCCCUCCAGGCUGUGUUAAUGGUGGUGCUUAAUGUCUUCUCACCACAGUUUUCUAUUCUAUGUCUAUAUCAGUCACAGUUAAAACAAAUUUGAUGUAAACCUUCAUAGACAAUGUUAAACUAUUUCUCAAGUGCUGAAAAAGUUAGAAUAAGCUUUUUUCUUA